GAUGAACGCUGGCGGCGUGCCUAAUACAUGCAAGUCGAGCGAACGGACGAGAAGCUUGCUUCUCUGAUGUUAGCGGCGGACGGGUGAGUAACACGUGGAUAACCUACCUAUAAGACUGGGAUAACUUCGGGAAACCGGAGCUAAUACCGGAUGAUAUUUUGAACCGCAUGGUUCAAAAGUGAAAGACGGUCUUGCUGUCACUUAUAGAUGGAUCCGCGCUGCAUUAGCUAGUUGGUAAGGUAACGGCUUACCAAGGCAACGAUGCAUAGCCGACCUGAGAGGGUGAUCGGCCACACUGGAACUGAGGCACGGUCCAGACUCCUACGGGAGGCAGCAGUAGGGAAUCUUCCGCAAUGGGCGAAAGCCUGACGGAGCAACGCCGCGUGAGUGAUGAAGGUCUUCGGAUCGUAAAACUCUGUUAUUAGGGAAGAACAUAUGUAUAAGUAACUGUGCACAUCUUGACGGUACCUAAUCAGAAAGCCACGGCUAACUACGUG
rnacentral:rRNA from 1 species